AACGAACGCUGGCGGCAUGCCUAACACAUGCAAGUCGAACGAGACCUUCGGGUUUAGUGGCGCCCGGGUGCGUAACGCGUUGGAACCUGCCUUUAUGUUCGGCAUCACUCAGAGAAAUUUGAGCUAAUACCGGAUUAUGUCUUUGGACCAAAGAUUUAUCGCCUUUAGAUGGGCCCGCGUUGGAUUUGCUUGGUGGUGGGGUAAAGGCCUGACAAGGGGAAGAUCCAUAGCUGGUCUGAGAGGAUGAUCAGCCACACUGGGACUGAGAAGCGGCCCAGGCUACGAAGGGGGGGAGAAGAGGGGAAAAUUGGAAAAAGGGUGAAAGACUGAUCCAGCAAGGGCGAGGAAGGGAUGAAGGUCGUAGGGUUGUAAAAGCCAUUUACCCGAGAUGGUAAUGACAGUAUCGGGAGAAUAAGCACCGGCUAACUACGUG
rnacentral:rRNA from 1 species